rnacentral:rRNA from 1 species
UGAGUAAUGUCUGGGAAUCUGGCCGACGGAGGGGGAUAACUGCUGGAAACGGCAGCUAAUACCGCAUGAAGUCGUGAGACCAAAGUGGGGGACCUUCGGGCCUCACGCCGUCGGAUGAGCCCAGAUGAGAUUAGCUGGUAGGUAGGGUAAAGGCUUACCUAGGCGACGAUCUCUAGCGGGUCUGAGUGGAUAGGCCUCCACACUGGAACUGAGACACGGUCCAGACUCCUACGGGAGGCAGCAGUGGGGAAUAUUGCACAAUGGGCGAAAGCCUGAUGCAGCCAUGCCACGUGUGUGAAGAAGGCCUUCGGGUUGUAAAGCACUUUCAGCGAGGAGGAAGCGAUAAAUGCCAAUACCAUUUAUUUUUGACGUUACUCGCAGAAGAAGCACCGGCUAACUCCGUGCCAGCAGCCGCGGUAAUACGGAGGGUGCGAGCGUUAAUCGGAAUAACUGGGCGUAAAGGGCAUGUAGGCGGUGAGUUAAGUCAGAUGUGAAAUCCCCGAGCUCAACUUGGGAAUGGCAUUUGAAACUGGGUCGCUAGAGUUUUCUAGAGGGGGGUAGAAUUCCAGGUGUAGCGGUGAAAUGCGUAGAUAUCUGGAGGAAUACCGGUGGCGAAGGCGGCCCCCUGGAGGGAGACUGACGCUGAGGUGCGAAAGCGUGGGGAGCAAACAGGAUUAGAUACCCCUGUAUUCCACGCUGUAAACGAUGUCGAUUUGGAGGUUGCGGUCUUGAACUGUGGCGUCCGGAGCUAACGCGUUAAAUCGACCGCCUGGGGAGUACGGCCGCAAGGUUAAAACUCAAAUGAAUU